rnacentral:rRNA from 1 species
UACGAAGGUCCCAAGCGUUAUCCGGAUUUAUUGGGUUUAAAGGGUGCGUAGGCGGAUUAUUAAGUCAGUGGUGAAAGCCUUCGGCUUAACUGAAGAACUGCCAUUGAUACUGAUGAUCUUGAGUAUGAUUGAGGUGGGCGGAAUGUGUCAUGUAGCGGUGAAAUGCUAAGAUAUGACACAGAACACCGAUUGCGAAGGCAGCUCACUAAGUCAUAACUGACGCUGAGGCACGAAAGCGUGGGGAGCAAACAGG